UAAACUUUAUUAUUUUUUACCAAAGCGGUGAGUUAAAAUUCCUACGCUUGGUAUUAUUUGAUUAUUCUCCAAAUUUUAUCGAUAAAAAAAACAAUAAUAUUUUUUAAUUUAGUUCUCUAAUACGAUCAAGUAUUUAUAGAUUGCCUAAACUUUAGGUAAGAAUAUUCUUUUUCAUUGCGUGAAAGUCACAAUCACAUCGUGAUCUCCUCCGAUCUCCGCCCUAGGGCGUACAGCCGAGGCCCACCCAUCGGCUUCAAGCCGCCCCCCUCGCCGGCCUCCGCCGUCACCUCCGCCGUCACAUCCGCCUGCACUCUACUGAUUUGUCUCCUCCUUAUCCAGCCAAGCUCCAUUCGUGUUGUCAGUCGCGCCAGGCAGAAAUUUGUGAAGAUGAACAGUCAGAUCAAACGAGAAAUCGAUCAAUUAUUAGAACUGUCAGUAUUGAUUCAACUAUUCAAUCUGCAAACCCUAAAUUGAAGCUUCCGCAACUUUAUUUCCUCCGAUUUACCGCUCGAUCGAUCGAUCGAUCGAUCGCUUCGUCUCGUCUCCUGGUUCGAUCGCAGCAAUCUCUUUCACCGAUUUAUUUCGGAGGCGACGCUGCUACCUCUGUGUUUUAUCUGAAAUAUUUUCCUCAAAUUCGAAUGAAUGAUCGAUCGGUCAUUUCAGACUUUCCUUACAGAGGUACAUUCGUUUUUCCCCUUUGCGGUGGUCCUUUUCGGAGGCAGACAACGGAUUCAAAAGUUUUUGCCUCCCGAUUACGCGAAAAAUGUUGUUGCAGAGCAGGGAAGACGACGAUCGGAUCGAGAUUUGAAGCUUUCGGCUAUUUUCCAGUUGCGGCUGGCGAGGAAAUGCUUGGUACCGUGGUUCCACAGGAAACUCGAAGCAUGGACCUUAUUUCUCUGUUUUGGCCCAACGGAUGAUGGGCUAAGGCCCAAUGGGGUAAAUUUGGGUCGGUUCAGUCUUCACAAUAUUGGGCUGCCCGGCCCUCUAAUAUGGCAAAUAAUGAAGAAAUUAGCCUAACCCGAGAGUGAUUAGUUUUGUCCAAGAGGAAUUUGUACGGAUGAGCUUAAUUUUUAAAACCAUUUACUAAAAACCAAAAUUUUAAAAUAAUUAUAAAUAUAUCAUUCUAAUAUCCCAGACUCUCUAUAAUUUACAAUAGUAUGUUCUACUUUAGU